AAAUUUCAAUAUUUUGCUAACUUGUAGAAUGUAAGUAUUUGAUAUAAAUGAAUGAAAUUAUCAGAUUAGAUACUAAAGGACGUAUUUUUUACAUUUCUUACAAUAGCUAGUAUUCAUCCAGUGCCUAUUUAUACCAGGGACUGUGCUUAUUCUGUGUACAGUAUUUAAUCCUCACAAAUUAAGUAUUAUUCCCAUAAUGAAGAAACUGAGGCUUAGAGAUAUAAAGUAGCUUUUCCACUGUUACAGAACUAGAAAGUAACAUGACUAGAAUUUGUACUCAAAGCCUGUGUAUUCAUUUGUAUUAUGUCAGCUUUGGAGUUAGUCAUUCAGCACUGUUUUUCUUUUUAAACAUAUGACAUAUGGCAUCUGAUCCUAUUAGCCAGUAAUAGGGUAAUCAGUCAAAUUGUCAUAGUGAGUGUUAAAUUGUGGUUCUCAUAUUCUUUCCUGGGGGCGUGUUUAAAUGAAGGUCUUAAGAUUUCCAAGCCCAGAAGUUCUGAUUUAGCAUGGGUCCAGGAAGAUGCACUCUUGCCAGACACAACAAGGGGUAGGGAACCUUUUUCUCUCAAGGGCCAGUUGGGUAUUAUAACAUUUAUUCAUAGGCCAUACAAAUUUUAUCAAUCCAGGCAGAUAGGCUGAGGGAAGCCAGUGAAAAAUCAUAUAUGUAUCCCUCUUCAUGUAUAAAAUGAUUUUGUGGGCUUAAUGUAGCCUAUGAGCCUCUGCCUUCAAGGAGCAUAACCUGGGAACAUAUUGGAAACGGAACUCCUCUUCAGCUCUCUACCCAGACGUACCCGAUCUGAAACUCCAAGGCAGAGGUAUAUUUAAACAGGCCCUGUGUAUGAGGUUUAUUCAUCUUAGUUCAAGAACCACUGUCCAACUACCUACAUGGUUCUGGUGCAAAUAGUCUUUGGAACAUGCUCAAGAUUACUGUCCCAUGAUGAGAGGUAAAUUUAAAGACUUAAAACAUGUUUUAAAAUCAGUAGUCUAGGGUCAAACUAUUAAUUUGUCAAUGGGUCAUUUAUUUUUGCAAAAAUUCUUCAGACUUUCUAGCUAAUAUCUGUGAAAUCUGUAAUUUUCCAAGAUUAGAAAUUUCACAUCUGUCAAGAAGGGUUUAUUAAUUAUUAAUAAAUUCAUUCUUUAAUAAUGUAGGUCUCACCCCAAAUGUCAAAUUUUAUAACUUAACAAAAUGCUGUUUUACAGUAUGGCAGAAUAUGUUUUGCCAAUUCAUACUAUCAAUUCAAAUCUAUCACUUUGAAGCAUCAUUUGUUCUAUAAGAUCUAAUAAAGCAAAAAAAAUCAAAUAUUUCAUCGAGCAAAUUAAGAAAGACCUCACAGUGAUAAUUAUUUCUUUUAGAUUAAGAUCUCUGUCAUUUGGAAAAACGAUUUCAAUAUGAUCCUAAAACAGAAAUCUUAAUGUCUUAUGUUCUCUAGUAACAGUAUAUUUACAUGUUCUAAUGAGUCCAUAAAUACAUCUCUUUUCAAAUACCUUACAUUUCAGGUGUUUUGUUACUCUAGUAAAAUUAGAAAAUAAAUCAUUGACCAAUUAUAUCAUGUUUUUAACAUGGUAAUUGGACUUGAGCUUUACAUUUGUUUGCUUGUUAUUUUCAUAAUUGAUUCUUGAGUGUUGGUUUCACUUCCUUGAACCUACCAAUCUAUAUUACCAGAUUGAGGCCCUACUGUACUUGAGAGACUCCCUCACUUGUUUGACCACAUCAUCGCUAAGCCAUUAUUCUUCACUUAAAUUUCCAGAUCAUUAGAUCUUUAUUCUGUCUUUGACAAUGUCUGUUGCUUUGUACUUACUGCUUUUAUUUCUUAUAACUAAUGUUUUCUAACUACUCUUAAUGCUGUCUUUUUAAGGUUAAUUUGGCUGUUUUUAGUUAUUAGAAUUUGUAUCACUUGCUGACAAUUUUAUAUUACUAAAUUUAGGUUUCCCUAGGGGAUUAAAAGUCUUAAGAAUAAUGUCUGCUAGGGAUUCUUGCCCUACUUAAGAAACUACAAUUUUCAACUAAUCUAUGUCUACAGUUACUAAAGGAAAUAGUUAUUUGGGUCCUCACCACUCAGCUUCCUCUUGAAAACAAAAACCAAACUCAUUUGGCUUUGUUUCUCCAUUUACAUAUUAGAAACAUGUACAGUAAAUCUUGGGUGACAACCUGUGGUAUUUUCUAUUGAUUUAACAGUGAUUUGUGUUUAUUAUCAGAGUUGAUAGAGAAAUUUUAGCACAAGUGAAUUAAGAGUUUCUCCAAAUUCUCUUCAAAGAAACCAACUCUAAAACUAGUUUUAGAGUUGAGGUGUGCUCUGUUUCAAUUUUCUUACCUCUUGUUUCCAGAUUAUAAAUUAGAAUCAUUUUGCAGGACCCUACAAAUUUAUAAUCUACAGGAAGUAUGUCAUUAGAGGGAAACUAAUCUUACUGCUAAGCAGUGUAUUGUACUAUACAGUGAAUGUUUGUGUUUUGGAAUUUAAAAAUUAUUUAAAGUAAUAGUGUUGUGAAUGAUUUUUAAAUGUCUGGUGAGUUGCUUAUUUUAAGUGAUCACCAUUAAAGUUAGAAAAAUGUUAUUUCUAAAUGUUUUUUUAAAGUGCCUUUUAAAAAAUUUUUAAUGAUGGAUUUAAAAACUGCAUAAAAUAAAUUACUGUGUUCAAA